rnacentral:rRNA from 1 species
CCUACGGGAGGCAGCAGUGAGGAAUAUUGGUCAAUGGGCGCGAGCCUGAACCAGCCACGUAGCGUGAAGGAUGAAUGCCCUACGGGUUGUAAACUUCUUUUAUAAAGGAAUAAAGUGAGGCACGUGUGCCUUUUUGUAUGUCCUUUAUGAAUAAGGCUCGGCUAACUCCGUGCCAGCAGCCGCGGUAAUACGGAGGGUCCGCGCGUUAUCCGGAUUUAUUGGGUUUAAAGGUAGCGUAGAUGGGUUGUUAAGUCAGUUGUGAAAGUUUGCGGCUCAACCGUAAAAUUGCAAUUGAUACUGGCAGCCUUGAGUACAGUUGAGGUAAGCGGAAUUCGUGGUGUAGCGGUGAAAUGCUUAGAUAUCACGAAGAACUCCGAUUGCGAAGGCAGCUUACUAAACUGUCACUGACAUUGAUGCUCGAAAGUGUGGGUAUCAAACAGGAUUAGAUACCCGUGUAGUC